GACGAACGCUGGCGGCGUGCUUAACACAUGCAAGUCGAACGGAAAGGCCCUGCUUUUGUGGGGUGCUCGAGUGGCGAACGGGUGAGUAACACGUGAGUAACCUGCCCUUGACUUUGGGAUAACUUCAGGAAACUGGGGCUAAUACCGGAUAGGAGCUCCUGCUGCAUGGUGGGGGUUGGAAAGUUUCGGCGGUUGGGGAUGGACUCGCGGCUUAUCAGCUUGUUGGUGGGGUAGUGGCUUACCAAGGCUUUGACGGGUAGCCGGCCUGAGAGGGUGACCGGCCACAUGGGGACUGAGAUACGGCCCAGACUCCUACGGGAGGCAGCAGUGGGGAAUAUUGCACAAUGGGCGGAAGCCUGAUGCAGCAACGCCGCGUGCGGGAUGACGGCCUUCGGGUUGUAAACCGCUUUCGCUUGUGACGAAGCGUGAGUGACGGUAAUGGGUAAAGAAGCACCGGCUAACUACGUG
rnacentral:rRNA from 1 species